rnacentral:misc_RNA from 1 species
UUUCCGUAGGUGAACCUGCGGAAGGAUCAUUAUUGUAUAACCGAGGUGCGAGGGCUGUCGCUGACCCGAAAGGUCGUGCACGCCCGAGUGCCCUCACACACAUCCAUCUCACCCCUAUGUGCACCACCGCGUGGGUCCCCCUUUGGCUUGUUCGGAGGGGGGCUUACGUUUCACACAAACUUUGUAUGCAGUGUAGAAUGUAUUUUUGUUUUUGCGAUCACGCAAUCAAUACAACUUUCAACAACGGAUCUCUUGGCUCUC